ACGAACGCUGGCGGCGUGCUUAACACAUGCCAGUCGAACGGAAAGGCCCUGCUUUUGUGGGGUGCUCGAGUGGCGAACGGGUGAGUAACACGUGAGUAACCUGCCCUUGACUUUGGGAUAACUUCAGGAAACUGGGGCUAAUACCGGAUAGGAGCUCCUGCUGCAUGGUGGGGGUUGGAAAGUUUCGGCGGUUGGGGAUGGACUCGCGGCUUAUCAGCUUGUUGGUGGGGUAGUGGCUUACCAAGGCUUUGACGGGUAGCCGGCCUGAGAGGGUGACCGGCCACAUUGGGACUGGGAUACGGCCCAGACUCCUACGGGAGGCAGCAGUGGGGAAUAUUGCACAAUGGGCGGAAGCCUGAUGCAGCAACGCCGCGUGCGGGAUGACGGCCUUCGGGUUGUAAACCGCUUUCGCCUGUGACGAAGCGUGAGUGACGGUAAUGGGUAAAGAAGCACCGGCUAACUACGU
rnacentral:rRNA from 1 species